GCUCCGCGCUCAGCCGCCGCUUCUUCGCCCCGCACUCUACGCCACCGCUGUAUAACUCCUCCAUACUGUCUUCCUCCUCCUGCCCGUCUAUGGACGACCGGAACAUGCUCCUCUUUUCUCCUACACCAAGCACUUCAAGGAACACAUUCCUUCAUCGUGGUAAAUUAUGAUUCCAAGAUUCUACUUUGACGUUAAAAGAGCAGUGCAGAAAAGGAGCAACUAAACAAGUGCAUGCAUGAAGCAUUCAUUCAAUGGAGGCUUUGAUUAUAAUAAACCGUGUUGCCCCACCAUAUCAGUGGUUUAUGGUGGCAGGAUCCCAUGCUCGCCCAUUGUGAGCCCAUGCCUUUAUCGAGGUGCAUGAUUGGACAGUCUUAAUCAUUUUCUCUUUGCCUUUGUUAAAUGCUAGCCCUGCAGCCACGGCGGCCAUGACUUGUAAUUCUGGAUGUAGCAGACAAUCACAAGUGACGGUGGCAUUAGCCACACUGAUGAGUAUAUGUUCUUAAUUUAUUCAUUUCCUGAGUUUCUCUUAUACAGCUUUGAAUAUGCAAAUGGGGACAAGCAAUACAAAUUAAAUGAUUUAAUUUAUAUAAAGUUUUGACAUGCUACAUGGAGUCAAUAGAGUUAAAUUAAUACAGGAACCAAAUCGCGUUCAGGCUGAUCGAGCAUUUUUGAGUUUUUUAAUGCCUUGAAACUUAUACCUGCAUCGGUCACCCAAACCGGUGAACAUCAAGGUUUUGAUGGUCUUACUACUUCCACGCCAAGACACCAGCUUUUUGCUGAAGCAGCCUUUAAUCUUAUAGCUUCCACCUUACACCUGUGCAUCUACAAUGGCAAAGUCUAGUCAUAGUGGAAUGAACUCUUUAACAUCAUCCAAAGGCUUUGAUUCCCAUUAUCAUCCAAAGGUGAUUGAUUGAUUGGGAAAGCGAUUCCCUUGUGGUAGAGCCUACGGCAGCACCUCACCUAAUGGAUUCCUGCACAUAAGGAAGAGCCACAGGAAGCAGAUAAACAAUGAAGGAAAGGAAACGAAGUGACGAGGUGUGCUAUUAGUUUUGGAUGGCGUUUUCAGUCAUGACCAGGAAAGUCCACAGGGAUGUGGAUAUUUGGACUUUAUCUUGGGUGCUGGAACUUUAAAAGAGCUAUGAAAUUGCAGGGCCUGUCACAGUGGCGUAGUGAUUUUCG